AAUCCAUCUCUUACAUGCCCUCUAGAUUCGCCGCUUUUUUUACAGGUCGUUUAGAUAAUGGCAAUAGUAGUUCCUAUUCUGAUAAUGUUGCUAAAGGAGAAAGUGAAAAACGUACAUUACAGUCUUCAGGAAAUUUUGGGACUAAUAUGGAUUUGUUGGCUGCGAAAGAACAUGUGUCUGCUCCAUAUCGCAUGGGGUUCCAAAAUUCUGCAGGUCUGAAAGAUGCUGAGAUGGGGAGGAAUUCUGGGCCCAUGGACUUUGUGAGGGGAAUAUUAGAGCAAGAGAGUUCUCGAUUUUCUCAAUACAAUGUUGAGCAUAAUGCUGAUAUUGUGCACAUAAAGCUAAUGCGUAAUAAUAGCUUUAUUAAUGUGACAGAUUCUAAGGGAAAUACAAAGCUUGUGGUUACAUCAGGAUCAAAGAAAGUGGUAGGUGAGGGAAAAGUAACUCGGUAUGCUGCUGAAGCAACUGCAGAAUAUGCUGGACGGAAGGCCAGAGAAAUGGGGUUGAAAUCGGUUGUGAUGAAGGUUGAAGGGUUCACUUACUUCAGGAAGAAAAGGCAAGCAAUCAUGAGCUUUAGAGAGGGCUUCUGUAAUUCUCGAACUGAUAGGAAUCCUAUUGUAUACAUUGAAGAUACUACUCGGCGUCCACAUAAUGGAUGUCGACUUCCAAAGAAACGCCGAAUUUAGGUUAUAGCAUUUCAGCUACGUGUCUACAGGAUGGAACUAAUUAUCCAAUGUUUAGCAAGAGUUUCACACACAAAGGGGCAGAUAAAUCCCUGGGAAUGGUAAUGGAUGUUGGUAGUUAUUUUGUUUGUAAUAACGGAAUCAAGGAGAAGGUAUCUUAAAGUGGUGGUGGAUGUUAAUUUGAUGAAUACCAAUUAGUUUAAAGUUGUUCUUGUGUUGGUUUUGAGGUGACAAGCAUAUUUCUCAUGGACUUGUAGUACCCUGAAACUCAUGUCUUUUAUUUAUUGAGUUUAACAAUUCUGUCU
rnacentral:misc_RNA from 1 species